UUGAACUUGCUCCGAUGGGUCUGAGAAUCUAUGUGGGCUUGCUUCUGCUGACCCCAAAAGUCUUGAGUCUGCUGUUUGACCCUCAAGAAAACACCUUCCUGUCCUGGGCUCCUUCCUACGCCGCAUUCCACAAU